GGUUGUAGCUCAGUGGUAGAGUGCUCAUCUCACAUGUGAGAGGCACUGGGUUCAAUCCUCAGCACCA
rnacentral:tRNA from 1 species